UACGUAGGAGGCAAGCGUUGUCCGGAUUUACUGGGCGUAAAGAGCGUGUAGGCGGCCACGCAGGUCCGUUGUGAAAACUGGAGGCUCAACCUCCAGCUGUCGACGGAAACCGUGUGGCUAGAGUCCGGAAGAGGAGAGUGGAAUUCCUGGUGUAGCGGUGAAAUGCGCAGAUAUCAGGAAGAACACCAAUGGCGAAGGCAGCUCUCUGGGACGGUACUGACGCUGAGACGCGAAAGCGUGGGGAGCGAACAGG
rnacentral:rRNA from 1 species